rnacentral:pre_miRNA from 1 species
CGAUGACGAUGAAGAUGAUGUUGAAGAUGAUGACGAUGAUGAUGAUGCUGAUCAAUCUCAUCAUCAUCAUCAUCAUCAUCAUCAUCAUCAUCAUCA